rnacentral:rRNA from 1 species
ACUCCUACGGGAGGCAGCAGUGGGGAAUAUUGCACAAUGGGGAAACCCUGAUGCAGCCAUGCCGCGUGUGUGAAGAAGGCCUCGGUUGUAAGCACUUCUAGUAGGGAGGAAGGUAGUGUAGUUAACACCUGCACUAUUUGUACGUUACCUACCAGAAGAAGACACCGGCUAACUCCGUGCCAGCAGCCGCGGUAAUACGGAGGGGUGCGAGCGUUAAUCGGAAUUACUGGGCGUAAAGCGCAUGCAGGCGGCCUGUUAAGUCAGAUGUGAAAGCCCGGGGGCUUAACCUCGGAAUUGCAUUUGAAACUGGCAGGCUAGAGUCUUGUAGAGGGGGUAGGAAUUUCAGGUGUAGCGGUGAAAUGCGUAGAGAUCUGAAGGAAUACCGGUGGCGAAGGCGGCCCCCUGGACAGAUACUGACACUCAGAUGCGAAAGCGUGGGGAGCGAAACAGGAUUAGAUACCCUGGUAGACUGUCA